rnacentral:rRNA from 1 species
AGAGCGAACGCUGGCGGCAGGCCUAACACAUGCAAGUCGAGCGCCCGUAGCAAUACGGGAGCGGCAGACGGGAUAGUAACACGUGGGAACGCGCCCUUCGGUUCGGAAUAACUCAGGGAAACUUGAGCUAAUACCGGAUACGCCCUUACGGGGAAAGAUUUAUUGCCGAAGGAACGGCCCGCGUCCGAUUAGCUAGUUGGUGAGGUAAUGGCUCACCAAGGCGACGAUCGGUAGCUGGUCUGAGAGGAUGACCAGCAUCACUGGGACUGAGACACGGCCCAGACUCCUACGGGAGGCAGCAGUGGGGAAUAUGGACAAUGGGCGCAAGCCUGAUCCAGCCAUGCCGCGUGGAUGAUGAAGGCCUUAGGGUUGUAAAGUCCUUUAACGGGGAAGAUAAUGACGGUACCCGUAGAAUAAGCCCCGGCUAACUUCGUAGCCAGCAGCCGC